GCCCCACGCGCCGUAAGUGCCCUGGAGGCCGCCGACGAGGAAGAGCCAGAUGCCCAUGAGGAGCGUGCCGGCGAGCAGCAUCGGGCGGCGGCCCCACUUGUCGAUGUAGAUGAUCGCGGGGAUGGUGAACACGACGUUGAGCACGUACUGGACCGCGUCGGCGAUGAGGUUGCCGCGGCGGCCGGUGAGGCCCGCGCCCUGGAAGACGUAGAUGAUGUAGUACAUCAUGAUGUUCAUGCCCGAGAGCUGCGACCACAUCUGGAGCGAGGCCCCGAGCGUGACGCGGCGGAAGAUGCCGGGCUUGAAGAGGUCGAGGUACGACUUGGCGCCCUCGGUGCGCUCGAA
rnacentral:lncRNA from 1 species